CUACGGGAUGCUCCAGUGGGGAAUCUUGGACAAUGGGCGCAAGCCUGAUCCAGCCAUGCCGCGUGAGUGAAGAAGGCCUUAGGGUCGUAAAGCUCUUUCGCCAGAGAUGAUAAUGACAGUAUCUGGUAAAGAAACCCCGGCUAACUCCGUGCCAGCAGCCGCGGUAAUACGGAGGGGGUUAGCGUUGUUCGGAAUUACUGGGCGUAAAGCGCGCGUAGGCGGAUUAGUCAGUCAGAGGUGAAAUCCCCGGGCUCAACCCUGGAACUGCCUUUGAUACUGCUAGUCUUGAGUUCGAGAGAGGUGAGUGGAAUUCCGAGUGUAGAGGUGAAAUUCGUAGAUAUUCGGAGGAACACCAGUGGCGAAGGCGGCUCACUGGCUCGAUACUGACGCUGGGGUGCGAAAGUGUGGGGAGCAAACAGGAUUAGAUACCCCAGUAGUC
rnacentral:rRNA from 1 species